rnacentral:rRNA from 1 species
UCCCCCCUCCAAUCAGUGAAACUGAUCCCCUCGUGAAAAAGCGAGGAUGAUCAUAUUAGACGAGAAGACCCCAUGGAGCUUUAAACUUGCACCACUGCCCCUAUCUUCACCCAAAUAAUUACAGCACCUGGUAACAAGUCUUUCGGCUGGGGCGGCCACGGAGAAAAACUAAACCUCCAUGAUGAAAGGAACCCCCCCCCUAAUCAGAGGGCUACCACCCUAAGAAUCAAUAAAUUGACACAUUGACCCAAAUAUUCUUGAUCAACGAACCAAGUUACCCUGGGGAUAACAGCGCAAUCCAUUUCGAGAGACCCUAUCAACAAAUG